GGUUAAGCGACUAAGCGUACACGGUGGAUGCCCUGGCAGUCAGAGGCGAUGAAGGACGUGCUAAUCUGCGAUAAGCGUCGGUAAGGUGAUAUGAACCGUUAUAACCGGCGAUUUCCGAAUGGGGAAACCCAGUGUGAUUCGUCACACUAUCAUUAACUGAAUCCAUAGGUUAAUGAGGCGAACCGGGGGAACUGAAACAUCUAAGUACCCCGAGGAAAAGAAAUCAACCGAGAUUCCCCCAGUAGCGGCGAGCGAACGGGGAGCAGCCCAGAGCCUGAAUCAGUGUGUGUGUUAGUGGAAGCGUCUGGAAAGGCGCGCGAUACAGGGUGACAGCCCCGUACACAAAAAUGCACAUAUUGUGAGCUCGAUGAGUAGGGCGGGACACGUGGUAUCCUGUCUGAAUAUGGGGGGACCAUCCUCCAAGGCUAAAUACUCCUGACUGACCGAUAGUGAACCAGUACCGUGAGGGAAAGGCGAAAAGAACCCCGGCGAGGGGAGUGAAAAAGAACCUGAAACCGUGUACGUACAAGCAGUGGGAGCCUCUUUUAUGGGGUGACUGCGUACCUUUUGUAUAAUGGGUCAGCGACUUAUAUUCUGUAGCAAGGUUAACCGAAUAGGGGAGCCGAAGGGAAACCGAGUCUUAACUGGGCGUUAAGUUGCAGGGUAUAGACCCGAAACCCGGUGAUCUAGCCAUGGGCAGGUUGAAGGUUGGGUAACACUAACUGGAGGACCGAACCGACUAAUGUUGAAAAAUUAGCGGAUGACUUGUGGCUGGGGGUGAAAGGCCAAUCAAACCGGGAGAUAGCUGGUUCUCCCCGAAAGCUAUUUAGGUAGCGCCUCGUGAAUUCAUCUCCGGGGGUAGAGCACUGUUUCGGCAAGGGGGUCAUCCCGACUUACCAACCCGAUGCAAACUGCGAAUACCGGAGAAUGUUAUCACGGGAGACACACGGCGGGUGCUAACGUCCGUCGUGAAGAGGGAAACAACCCAGACCGCCAGCUAAGGUCCCAAAGUCAUGGUUAAGUGGGAAACGAUGUGGGAAGGCCCAGACAGCCAGGAUGUUGGCUUAGAAGCAGCCAUCAUUUAAAGAAAGCGUAAUAGCUCACUGGUCGAGUCGGCCUGCGCGGAAGAUGUAACGGGGCUAAACCAUGCACCGAAGCUGCGGCAGCGACGCUUAUGCGUUGUUGGGUAGGGGAGCGUUCUGUAAGCCUGUGAAGGUGUGCUGUGAGGCAUGCUGGAGGUAUCAGAAGUGCGAAUGCUGACAUAAGUAACGAUAAAGCGGGUGAAAAGCCCGCUCGCCGGAAGACCAAGGGUUCCUGUCCAACGUUAAUCGGGGCAGGGUGAGUCGACCCCUAAGGCGAGGCCGAAAGGCGUAGUCGAUGGGAAACAGGUUAAUAUUCCUGUACUUGGUGUUACUGCGAAGGGGGGACGGAGAAGGCUAUGUUGGCCGGGCGACGGUUGUCCCGGUUUAAGCGUGUAGGCUGGUUUUCCAGGCAAAUCCGGAAAAUCAAGGCUGAGGCGUGAUGACGAGGCACUACGGUGCUGAAGCAACAAAUGCCCUGCUUCCAGGAAAAGCCUCUAAGCAUCAGGUAACAUCAAAUCGUACCCCAAACCGACACAGGUGGUCAGGUAGAGAAUACCAAGGCGCUUGAGAGAACUCGGGUGAAGGAACUAGGCAAAAUGGUGCCGUAACUUCGGGAGAAGGCACGCUGAUAUGUAGGUGAAGUCCCUUGCGGAUGGAGCUGAAAUCAGUCGAAGAUACCAGCUGGCUGCAACUGUUUAUUAAAAACACAGCACUGUGCAAACACGAAAGUGGACGUAUACGGUGUGACGCCUGCCCGGUGCCGGAAGGUUAAUUGAUGGGGUCAGCGCAAGCGAAGCUCUUGAUCGAAGCCCCGGUAAACGGCGGCCGUAACUAUAACGGUCCUAAGGUAGCGAAAUUCCUUGUCGGGUAAGUUCCGACCUGCACGAAUGGCGUAAUGAUGGCCAGGCUGUCUCCACCCGAGACUCAGUGAAAUUGAACUCGCUGUGAAGAUGCAGUGUACCCGCGGCAAGACGGAAAGACCCCGUGAACCUUUACUAUAGCUUGACACUGAACAUUGAGCCUUGAUGUGUAGGAUAGGUGGGAGGCUU
rnacentral:rRNA from 1 species